AGGCGACUUUGAAGAUACUACCUCUCUGCUCUUGACCUCAGUUUCCCCGUUUGACUACUUUUGAUUAGUUUGGCAAGGGCGACUGGGAUGAACUAGCCUUUGGAAGGCGGAUUCGAUCGGCACGGCAGGAGGACAUCAUGAGGGCAGCGUGGCAACACUUACUGAUGUUUAGCGUGGGGAAGAACCUCCAUGCAUCCUGGGAGCUGUCAUACCGAGGGGGAGAGGGUUUUCCACAUGCUGACCUCUGAGGUCAAAACUGAGAUAUAAUUUUAAGGAAGAUUUCAGUUCAAUGCAGAGAUACUACCUUUUGAUAAAUGCACAACAAAACAUGCACCCGAGUGUCCUUUAACAACUAAAGGAAGAAAGUGUAUACUGUGAUGCACAUGAAUCUCAAACACAUCAUGUUUGCUUUCAUCUAUAUGAGGUGUCCAGAGCAGGAAAAUCCGAAGAGACAGAAACUAGAGCAGGGCUUGCCUGGGGCUGCACGAUCUCACCACACACUCCAUCAUUUAGCCACACCACCUAUUCACCGGCUUCCCACCUGUCUAGACAGCCAUCCACACACCCACCCACCCAUCCAUUCACAGCCGCCCACCCACUCACGUGCCCAUUCACUCAUCCAUCCAUGGAGCUAACCGCGCACAUACCCAUGCAUGCAUCUAGCCAUCCCUAGCUAUAUGUUCUCCAAAUGUAUUUAUUAAAAGUCCUUUUCAUUUGUAGGAACUAUGCUGAGAAAUGAGGAGCUGUUGUUGAUGGUAGCAUAUUUAUUUUCUCAUUAGCGAGAUGAAAAUACUCUAAAAUAGAUUGUGAUAAUGGCUGUACAGCUCUGAAUAAAAAAAACCACAUUGAACUUAUUUACAUGGACAAAUUGUAUGGCGUGGAAAUAUUUCAAUAAAGCACUAAUAAAAAUAA